rnacentral:rRNA from 1 species
GAUGAACGCUGGCGGCGUGCUUAACACAUGCAAGUCGAACGGAAAGGCUCCUGCUUUCCGGGGUACUCGAGUGGCGAACGGGUGAGUAACACGUGGGUGAUCUGCCCUGCACUUCGGGAUAAGCCUGGGAAACUGGGUCUAAUACCGGAUAGGACGAUGGUUUGGAUGCCAUUGUGGAAAGUUUUUCCGGUGUGGGAUGAGCUCCGGGCGUAUCAGCUAGUUGUUGGGGUAAUGGCUUACUAAGGCGUCGACGGGUAGCCGGUCGGAGAGGGUGUACGGCGGCAGUGGAACUGGGACGGGGGCAAGACGACUGAGGGAGGGAGCAGUAGGGAAUGUGAGGCAGUGGGGGAAAGGGUGACGGAGCAACGGCGCGUGAGUGAGGAAGGUCUUGGGAGCGUAAAACGGUGUUAUUGGGGAAGAACAAAUGUGGAAGGAGAUAAGCACGUCUUGACGGUACCUAAGCAGAAAGCCACGGCUAACUACGUG